CCGACGGUUGCGGAUUGCCUGCUGUCGUCUCCCGAUCCCGUUUGGAGCGCUUCCUUCACUUCCUUGCGAUAGGCAUGGUUGUCCAUGGUUCCGGGGUCUUCCUUGCUGUCGUACAACACGGUGCCGUCCGC
rnacentral:tRNA from 1 species